CCUACGGGAGGCAGCAGUGGGGAAUCUUGGGCAAUGGGCGAAAGCCUGACCCAGCGACGCCGCGUGGAGGACGAAGGCCCUCGGGUCGUAAACUCCUGUUCUUGGGGAAGAGGAUGACGGUACCCAAGGAGCAAGCCCCGGCUAACUCCGUGCCAGCAGCCGCGGU
rnacentral:rRNA from 1 species